rnacentral:pre_miRNA from 1 species
AAUAAACGAAUUUAUUUGUUUUUAUAAAAUUUUUGACUCUUCGUCUUAUUUGAAAAUAUUUUAUGAUUAAUAUUUUUAUUGUUACUACAUGAUAAAACAUGAAUAGUAUUUUACCUGCAACUAAUUUUUUCAAUUUUUUAAUAAAAUUUUUAAAUAAGACGGAUGGUCCAACACUCAACCUGCCAAACCCAGA